GGUGGAUUGGCCGAGUGGUUUAGGCAAGGGCCUGCAAAGCCCUUCACACGGGUUCGAUUCCCGUAUCCACCU
rnacentral:tRNA from 1 species